GAUGAAGAACGCAGUGAAAUGCGAUAAGUAAUGUGAAUUGCAGAAUUCAGUGAAUCAUCGAAUCUUUGAACGCACAUUGCGCCCGCCAGUAUUCUGGCGGGCAUGCCUGUUCGAGUGUCAUUACAACCCUCAGGCCCCCGGGCCUGGCGUUGGGGAUCGGCGGAGCCCCCCGUGGGCACACGCCGUCCCCCAAAUGCAGUGGCGGUCCCGCCGCAGCUUCCAUCGCGUAGUAGCUAACACCUCGCGACUGGAGAGCGGCGCGGCCACGCCGUAAAACACCCAACUCUUCUGAAGUUGACCUCGAAUCAGGUAGGAAUACCCGCUGAACUUAAGCAUAUCAAUAAGCGGAGGA
rnacentral:misc_RNA from 1 species